GACGAACGCUGGCGGCGUGCCUAAUACAUGCAAGUAGAACGCACAGUUUAUACCGUAGCUUGCUACACCAUAGACUGUGAGUUGCGAACGGGUGAGUAACGCGUAGGUAACCUGCCUGGUAGCGGGGGAUAACUAUUGGAAACGAUAGCUAAUACCGCAUAAUAUUAAUUAUUGCAUGAUAAUUAAUUGAAAGGUGCAAUUGCACCACUACCAGAUGGACCUGCGUUGUAUUAGCUAGUAGGUGAGGUAACGGCUCACCUAGGCGACGAUACAUAGCCGACCGGAGAGGGUGAUCGGCCACACUGGGACUGAGACACGGCCCAGACUCCUACGGGAGGCAGCAGUAGGGAAUCUUCGGCAAUGGACGAAAGUCUGACCGAGCAACGCCGCGUGAGGGAAGAAGGUUUUCGGAUCGUAAAGCUCUGUUGUAAGAGAAGAACGGGUGUGAGAGUGGAAAGUUCACACUGUGACGGUAUCUUACCAGAAAGGGACGGCUAACUACGUG
rnacentral:rRNA from 1 species